rnacentral:rRNA from 1 species
UAGCUUGCUACCUGACCUAGCGGCGGACGGGUGAGUAAUGCUUAGGAAUCUGCCUAUUAGUGGGGGACAACAUUCCGAAAGGAAUGCUAAUACCGCAUACGCCCUACGGGGGAAAGCAGGGGAUCUUCGGACCUUGCGCUAAUAGAUGAGCCUAAGUCAGAUUAGCUAGUUGGUGGGGUAAAGGCCUACCAAGGCGACGAUCUGUAGCGGGUCUGAGAGGAUGAUCCGCCACACUGGGACUGAGACACGGCCCAGACUCCUACGGGAGGCAGCAGUGGGGAAUAUUGGACAAUGGGCGAAAGCCUGAUCCAGCCAUGCCGCGUGUGUGAAGAAGGCCUUUUGGUUGUAAAGCACUUUAAGCGAGGAGGAGGCUACUUAGAUUAAUACUCUAGGAUAGUGGACGUUACUCGCAGAAUAAGCACCGGCUAACUCUGUGCCAGCAGCCGCGGUAAUACAGAGGGUGCGAGCGUUAAUCGGAUUUACUGGGCGUAAAGCGUGCGUAGGCGGCUUUUUAAGUCGGAUGUGAAAUCCCUGAGCUUAACUUAGGAAUUGCAUUCGAUACUGGGAAGCUAGAGUAUGGGAGAGGAUGGUAGAAUUCCAGGUGUAGCGGUGAAAUGCGUAGAGAUCUGGAGGAAUACCGAUGGCGAAGGCAGCCAUCUGGCCUAAUACUGACGCUGAGGUACGAAAGCAUGGGGAGCAAACAGGAUUAGA